GGACAGAAACACGCAGAAACGCCCCCAAGCCCUAAAAGCGCCAACAACAAGGCAGGAUUUACCCUCGCUUAUACGGCGCGAUUUCAAGGCCGGUGUCCGGCGGGUGACAUGUCAAGUAAAAGAUCUUGCUGCCCUAACAGAAGAAGGCUAAAUGUCCUUCCAUCUGAGCACUAGCCUUCGUCCCACUGCACUUGGUCCUUUACAACUUCUGACUCCCAGAGGAAACUCCAGGACUCAAAAGGAAACCCUACAAGCAUUCAAAUACUUUGGGCAUCUUUGUGGCCCACAUGAGCUCACAAGAACCCCAGGACACUGAGGGAGGAGCCAUCUCUGCUUGGCAGUAAGAAAUACUGGGGAAUGGGAAGCCUUAAUUCCCAGUGCAGGGACUGAUGGACCAUCAGCUUACCUUUGCACAGAACUUCUCCAUGCUGGUGUCUGCAUCGGCAAGGGCUGUGGGCUGUGCAGCACUGAAGAGGGUUAGGCAUUCACAUGCAUAGUGAAAACAAAUCAGAGCAUUCAAAAAGUGUAUGAUAAAUACAAACUUUUUACUUAAAGGUAUGAGUGAUAAGGAUAGAAAGACUGUUAUUGCUAGUAGAGAUUUCAAUUCUCAAAACCAUCUGUUUUUGAUGAUUGUUGGAAGCAGGAUACAAGACUUACAUCAAACACAGGUUCAAACUGGUUCCAGCACUGCUCAGUUCCUCAGAUCCUAGGGUCUCUAGCUCCAAAAAGUAAAAAAACCCUAAUAAUAAGAGCGACAAUUAAAUAAUUAUUACAAAUAUUAUUUUGCCUUUUAAUGUCUAUUUUUAUUCUGAGACCCUUCUCAAACUAUGUAUAUGAAUGAGAAUUAGUGGUGAUAGAGUUUUUGAUAGAGACAGUGAUGACACAGGUACUGCAGGAGCCCUGACUGAUACUCAGCAAUUACUUCUGCCCAUCCAAUCUCCAAAUCAAUCCAAUUUACUCCCAUCAGCUCUGCAAUCAGUUCUCCCACUAGCCUUUUACACUUCUCCCUAUCAAUGUGCCUGCUGUUUCUUUCUCUUUGAAAGGAGGUUUUAUUUCCUUCAUUCUGAAUGAAGAGAGAGCUAGAUACAUGAAUUAUUCUUUAUCUCUUGACCAUUUCAAUAGUUUUCUCAAAACGUAUGUUUUUAGUUUUCUUUUUGUCUGUUUCAGACAGUUCUUUACCCGAAAACACAAAAGAACUCUUUCCUGUGACAGAUGUGCCUUGUGGGUGGUUAGAAACAGAUGAACAUCAUGGUUCAGGAUGCACACCUAUGGCAUGGAGAAUUACACUGAAUUAAGAAGUGUCUCAUAGACAUAGUGGCUUCCCUAUGAAGACCAUGGAAAAUCAGACUCUAUUAUAAUUCUUCAAUUUCUAUGCAGAGUUUUUUUAGAUUUUAUGGUAAGAUUUUACCCUUCAGAAUUUUACAACUUUGUGCAAAAGAAAAGACUCUGUGAAGUGUGCAACAACUGCAGAGUAACUUAUUUAAAUAUAGAUAUUAGACAAGCUUUAAUUACAAAAUUUAUAGAUCAGGUCUAGGCUAGAAGGCAAGUGUGAAUAAAUCUCUUGGAAGUUGGAGGUACAGCAGAAACUCAGCAUCAGCAUGGUUUUGACCCUGCAAUGUCAGACUACAAGGACAAUUAAGUUAAUUAUCCAAGCCUUUAUGGGCUCUUAUGCCAGUUUUUCCAGUCAGUCUGGGCGAGCAACCCUCACUUGGCCAUUGCUUGAUGUUGAAAUGCUGGAACUGGUAUUUAAGCCAGCUUUUGUAUCAAGUGUACUUAUAUACAUCCAUGUGAAGGUGUAUCCAUGCACAUGUGCGUGCACACACACUUAUCUAAGUGCACUUUCAAGGAUUUCAAGGAAUGAAAGACCAAUCCAUCUGUCAAGACAAAUACACUUCUCACUGGGGGAACCUGGCUAUGAUGUUUUGCUUCUCUCAUUUGUAUUUUAUUAAUUAAUGCAGGGUUGCAAGGUGUUAAAUAAAAGUUAGAGCAAAUAGCAUAGAUACAAAGAAAGCUUGCCCUCACCAACAAUUAAAAGUAGCUUCACUGACAAGUCUGAUCUUAGGGUGUCACAUUGUAUGUCCCAUUGAUGUGUGGCCUCACAGCAUGGUACAAAACUGAAAGCAGAAUCAGGGAGUUGGGUUUAUAGAAGGGGCAUUCCUUGAAGAGAGAGGAGACAAAAGCCAAGGCCUAUAGCUUCUCUCAUCUCCAGGCUUUUUGAUCUUCCUACAACCACUAAAUCAACAAAACCCUUUAAAAAACAGUGCUUGUAACAGGACCCACUUUAAAUAAAUUCUUUCUGUUUUGAUGCCCAACCUCUCUUGCAGCAGGACCAGUGGUUCCUUUGAAAGUGGGAUUUCUCAUCUCACAGCAUUAUUUUAAGCACCAUUUCAUCCCUUUAUAAUACAAAACUGUCAGGAGCAUUCCUCUGUUUGGCUUAUUGAGGAGUCUGUCUUUCUAGUCAUGUGAACACAAAGUCCUUCUCUACAGAAUUACAAAAAUAACCUGUAAACAAGUAUUUCAUUUGUACCUCCCUGUUGUCAUCACAUUUUCCUUCCCCGUGCCUGUAAGUUUCUAAGGCAGAAUAACUAUUUAAUGAUCAAACAAACUAACUGGCACUGUUCAUUCCUACGAGAAAAGCACAUCAAUAAAACAAGAAAUACUUCAGUUAAGUGGUAAUAGACCAGGUGCCACAGUUUGCAAAGUAAUUACCUGUGGAUACCAGAGGAUUACAGCUGAAAAGAACUAGACACCCUUUCUGUUAUUACUGACAAAUAGAAGAUGGUACCUGGUCUCAAUUUAACAGCUGGAAUUACAUGAGUAAAUGUAAUAAAAAAUACUACUCUCUUCUGAAAAUUGCACUUGACAGCUGUCUAUUUGUUCAUCUGAAGCUCCAAUUCCAAUUGUUUUACAGCAUGGAAAUGAAAAUAGCACAUAUGAUGAAAAUACAGUGUAUGUAUGUACCUAUCGUGGCAUAUGAUAUUGCAUAAUAUUAUAUAUAUUAUAAAUUAUGUAUAUAUAUAUAUACACACACACACACACAUACAUACACAUAGUAAGGUUGGCAUUACGAAGCAUUAGUGUUGAACCUGCCGGUUUUUCUGUCUGUUAGCAGAGGAACAGGAAAGAAUAAUUGAGUUGCUCCUAUUUUCCUCAGUUUAGGAAACAGUAGUUAAAUUUGGUUUUAUUUUAUUUUGUUCUAAACCCAAGGUGCUAUUCACAAGGCAGAAUACAAAGCCAUCAGUGAUGAUGAAUUUUGAUUUGAAUGGAGAUGUCAUAAGCUGGAUACUCCCCCAGCAAAGGGGCUGGGCAAGGUCUCUCAGCUGACAGGAUCUGUGCACUUGCACUGACAGCAGGCCCAGGACAUUACUGAUGAUCCUGUGCCAGCUGCCUACUGGUGUUACUGAAGUUGGUAACUGUGCUUUUAUUGAAAUGACAAACUGCUUCACACACAGCUCGUCUGGAGAAGCAGUUCACCACCAGGUGGCAGAUACCACAACUUGAAUUUCAAAUGCUGGAGAGACCAAACGGCAGCACUGAUUCAGGAAAACCCUAUCUGUUGCACAUGAAUUUUAGAAAGAGGGUUUAGCUGCUG